rnacentral:rRNA from 1 species
CCUACGGGUGACAGCAGUCGAGAAUCAUUCACAAUGGGGGAAACCCUGAUGGUGCGACGCCGCGUGGGGGAAUGAAGUUCUUCGGAUUGUAAACCCCUGUCAUGUGGGAGCAAAUUAAAAAGAUAGUACCACAAGAGGAAGAGACGGCUAACUCUGUGCCAGCAGCCGCGGUAAUACAGAGGGCUCAAGCGUUGUUCGGAAUCACUGGGCGUAAAGCGUGCGUAGGCUGUUUCGUAAGUCGUGUGUGAAAGGCGCGGGCUCAACCCGCGGACGGCACAUGAUACUGCGAGACUAGAGUAAUGGAGGGGGAACCGGAAUUCUCGGUGUAGCAGUGAAAUGCGUAGAUAUCGAGAGGAACACUAGUGGCGAAGGCGGGUUACUGGACAGUAACUGACGCUGAGGCACGAAGGCCAGGGGAGCGAAAGGGAUUAGAUACCCCUGUAGUC